CCCAAUACGUUAGUGAGGACAUUAGGAGCA
rnacentral:piRNA from 1 species